CCAGAGAUUUCCGAAUGGGGAAACCCAGCAUGAGUUAUGUCAUGUUAUCGAUAUGUGAAUACAUAGCAUAUCAGAAGGCACACCCGGAGAACUGAAACAUCUUAGUACCCGGAGGAAGAGAAAGAAAAUUCGAUUCCCUUAGUAGCGGCGAGCGAAACGGGAAGAGCCCAAACCAACAAGCUUGCUUGUUGGGGUUGUAGGACACUCUAUACGGAGUUACAAAGGACGACAUUAGACGAAUCAUCUGGAAAGAUGAAUCAAAG
rnacentral:rRNA from 1 species